UGCUGACGAGUGGCGGACGGGUGAGUAACGCGUAGGAAUCUACCUGGUAGUGGGGGAUAGCUCGGGGAAACUCGAAUUAAUACCGCAUACGACCUAAGGGUGAAAGUGGGGGAUCUUCGGACCUCACGCUAUCAGAGGAGCCUGCGUUGGAUUAGCUAGUUGGUGGGGUAAAGGCCCACCAAGGCGACGAUCCAUAGCUAGUCUGAGAGGACGAUCAGCCACACUGGAACUGAGACACGGUCCAGACUCC
rnacentral:rRNA from 1 species